rnacentral:rRNA from 1 species
GACGAACGCUGGCGGCGUGCUUAACACAUGCAAGUCGAACGGAAAGGCCCCUUUGGGGGUACUCGAGUGGCGAACGGGGGAGUAAGACGUGAGUAACCUGCCCUUGACUUCGGGAUAACUUCAGGAAAGUGGGGCUAAUACCGGUAAGGAAUCCUUGCUGCUUGGGGGGGGUUGGAAAGCUUCGGCGGUUUUGGAUGGAUUCGCGGCCUAUCAGCUUGUUGGUGGGGUAGUGGCUUACCAAGGCUUUGACGGGUAGCCGGCCUGAGAGGGCGAGCGGCCACAUUGGGACUGAGAUACGGCCCAGACUCCGACGGGAGGCAGCAGUGGGGAAUAUUGCACAAUGGGCGGAAGGCUGAUGCAGCAACGCCGCGGGCGGGAUGACGGCCUUCGGGUUGUAAACCGCUUUCAGCAGGGGCGAAGCUUGUGGUGACGGUACCUGCAGAAGAAGCACCGGCUAACUACGUG